rnacentral:rRNA from 1 species
UACGUAGGUGGCAAGCGUUAUCCGGAAUUACUGGGCGUAAAGCGCACGCAGGUGGCUUGUUAAGUCUGACGUGAAAGCUCCUGGCUUAACUGGGAGAGGUCGUUGGAGACUGGCAGGCUUGAGGCGAGGAGAGGGGUGUAGAAUUCCCGGUGUAGUGGUGGAAUGCGUAGAUAUCGGGGGGAAUACCAGUGGCGAAAGCGGCACCCAGGCCUUGGCCUGACGCUCAGGUGCGAAAGCGUGGGGAGCAAACGGG